rnacentral:rRNA from 1 species
GGAUGGCCUCAGUAACGGCGAGUGAAGCGGCCAAAGCCCACUUGUAAAUCUUCGGAAUUGUAAGCUAGGGAGGAAUGGUGUAGAUUUGAUUGGACCUAAGUGGUCAGGAAUGACACGUCAUGGAGGGUGAUAACCCCGUGAGGUUCAAUUAGAUUGAAAACCAAACUAUCUAAGAGUCGGACAGCUUGGGAUUGCUGUCCAAAGUGCGAGGUAAACUCCUCGUAAGGCUAAAUACGUCCAGAGCCCGAUAGUGCACAAGUACCGUGAGGGAAAGGUGAAAAGCACUUUGGAAAGAGAGUUAAAAGACCUGAAAUAGUUGGGGAGGAAGCUGUGCGUCUACAAUAAAUCUGAGCAAAGCUUUGAAAAGAAGUAUUGCAAGGAUAUAGUGGACGGACCGUCCCGUCUUGAAACACGGACCAAGGAGUCUAGCUAUAUCGCGAGUCUGUGCAUGUAAAUGUGUAGGCGAAAUGAAAGUGAUCUCUACCAUCAGUAGAGGCCCGUAAGCGGAGUAAGCGAAAUGGCUGGGACCCGAAAGAUGGUGAGCUAUGCUUGGGCAGGACGAAGCCAGGGGAAACUCUGGUGGAGGUUCGU